rnacentral:rRNA from 1 species
AGUGAACGCUGGCGGUAGGCCUAACACAUGCAAGUCGAACGGCAGCACAGUAAGAGCUUGCUCUUACGGGUGGCGAGUGGCGGACGGGUGAGGAAUACAUCGGAAUCUACUUUUUCGUGGGGGAUAACGUAGGGAAACUUACGCUAAUACCGCAUACGACCUACGGGUGGAAGCAGGGGAUCUUCGGACCUUGCGCGAUUGAAUGAGCCGAUGUCGGAUUAGCUAGUUGGCGGGGUAAAGGCCCACCAAGGCGACGAUCCGUAGCUGGUCUGAGAGGAUGAUCAGCCACACUGGAACUGAGACACGGUCAAGACUCCUACGGGAGGCAGCAGUGGGGAAUAUUGGACAAUGGGCGCAAGCCUGAUACAGCCAUACCGCGUGGGUGAAGAAGGCCUUCGGGUUGUAAAGCCCUUUUGUUGGGAAAGAAAAGCAGCAGGUUAAUACCCCGCUGUUCUGACGGUACCCAAAGAAUAAGCACCGGCUAACUUCGUG